CCUUGCCAGCCCGCUCAGAAACUCAAAGGACUUGACGGGGGCCCGCACAAGCGGUGGAGUAUGUGGUUUAAUUCGAUGCAACGCGAAGAACCUUACCUGGUCUUGACAUCCCGGAGACCCUUAGGAAACUAGGGGGUGCUUCCAUCUGGAAGAAUCUGGAGACAGGUGCUGCAUGGCUGUCGUCAGCUCGUGUCGUGAGAUGUUGGGUUAAGUCCCGCAACGAGCGCAACCCUUGCCUUUAGUUGCCAGCAGUUCGGCUGGGCACUCUAAAGGGACUGCCGGUGUUAAACCGGAGGAAGGUGGGGAUGACGUCGAGUCCUCAUGGCCUUUAUGACCAGGGCUACACACGUACUACAAUGGCCGAUACAAAGGGCAGCGACACUGCGAGGUGAAGCCAAUCCCGUAAAAUCGGUCUCAGUCCGGAUUGGAGUCUGCAACUCGACUCCAUGAAGUUGGAAUCGCUAGUAAUCGUGGAUCAGCAUGCCACGGUGAAUACGUUCCCGGGCCUU
rnacentral:rRNA from 1 species